GUUAUCAAGUGGUGAUGAUGUUUUGUGAUGUAAAGGACUUCUUUAACCAUUCUACAUAAGCAUUUUUGAGCACAGUGAAUUGAAGUUCAUUCUGGAGCAAGUAACCCGAAACCUUCUGCAGAAGGCCCUACUAUUCAAGCUCGAGGUAUUUUCCAAGGCCAUGAUGAUACUGUAGAAGAUGUUCAGUUCUGCCCUUCCAGGCUGCAUGUGGUCUGAGUAAGAAGUCAAAGGAGCAGAUUGUGGACAUUGAUGCUGCAGAUGUGAACUAUGAAUUGGCAGUUUUGGAAUAUGUUGAAGACAUUUACAGCUUUUACAAACUAGCUGAGAGUGAGACAAGAGUUCAUGACUAAUUGAUUCACAGCCUACCACAAGUUUGAGCUUAAUCCAGAAACUCUUUACCUCACAAUCUACAUUGUUGAUUGCUACCUCGCUGUGGAAACUGCAUCAAGAAGGGAACUGCAGUUGGUGGGCAUUAGUGCCGUGCUUAUAGCCUCUAAAUAUGAAGAAACUUGGGCUCCCGAGCUCAAUGACUUCGUGUGCAUCUCGGACAAAACUUACAGUCACGAGAAAGUGUUAACUAUGGAGAAAUAAAUUCACGAGCAACUGGAAUGUUAUCUAACAGUCCCAACACCUUAUGUUUUCCUCGUCCAUUCCAUCAAAGCUUCUUUACCUGAUUCAGAAGUCAAUGACUUCAUCUGCAUCUUGGACAAAACUUACAGUCACGAGGAAGUGUUAACUAUUGACAAACAAAUUCUCGGGCAACUGGUUGUCGUGGAUAAAGUUGUCGUGGUUGUGUGAAGUGAAGUUAGCCAUGUGGAAGCCUUAUUGUUUGCCGAUUAACCGACUAUUAUAAGUGUUUGGUUAUUGUUUUCAGAACCAAAGCUCCUCGGUUACAUAGUUUUUGGGUUUACAUUGUAUUAAACUGGUUGGAAGUCAAAGACACAAGGGGCCGAUGAAACUACCACAUUUAAAGACCUCAAACUAAACUUUGUCUUUCAAUUGCAUCGAUCUUGGAAUAAAGAGCUAAUAAGUUUCGGGAACCUGAGAAUAUCAUGGACUACAGUUUUGUGAUUGGUCUACAUAUCCGCAAUUAUUGCAUCCUUCUGUACUGAAGCUCCUUGGUUACAAAGUUUUUUGGUGUACAUUGUGUUAAAUUGGUUGGAUGUCAAAGGUAUGUUUGAAAUCCCUUUAGCGCUACAACCUAUCUGCUUCCGAAGAAGAUCAUGUCUAGUUCCUUCUGCAGUUAUUUCUCUAGGAGUUCUUACAUUCUCUUAUUCAACAAGCGGGUGUCUUAAUGGAUAUGUCAUAGAAUUGUUAAGUGCACACUAUUAACGGAUAAUGUUUUGUUUUAUAAAUGGUAACCAGUUGGUCAUACUAUAACAGUGAGAAUGCUAGAGCUGUGUUGCUUAAAAAUAUAAAUUGCAGAAGAACUCAUAACAUGGUAAGACAAUAAUCUGCAUUAACAAAUCAACUGGCAUUCUGUAAUAUGAUUUCAGGUGAAACGAAUCAGUGAAGUGGCUCAGGGUAGCAAGAUAUUGGCCACACACACUGACAGUCCUGGUGUAAGCAUCUGCUUCUGAAUAUUUCAAUUUCAUUUGGUAGCCCUAUCGUACACAUUUGUUCCCCACCUGGUGGUUUUUUGGUAGCCAACAUAAAGCUGGUGGAAACUCUAGGCUACAAGCAGAUGAGUUGAUUCCGAUGGAUUCUACUGUGAGUGGAUACCAAUCCAUUGCUUAGUACAGGAUACCAAUCCCCUUUAAAGUUAGAUGAAGUGCCUUUGCUUCCACCUGAUUUCCAAGCUUUGUAAGAACGUCAGAGUUUUUACAAAAAAAUUUCCCUAAGCCAGUGAAUCCGCAGCGCUGCACCACCCGUCCAGGUUAAAUUCCCACUGAUGUGUCGACUAAUUCUACAU